UUGUAUGAAUGUACCAUAUUUUGUUUGUCUAUUCAUCAAUUGAUGGACAUUUGAGUUGUUUCCACUUUGGGGCUAUUACAAACAAUGCAUGAACAUUUGUGUACGAGCGUCUUGUAGACAUAUGUUCUCAAUUCUUUCAAGUAUAUACAUACCUAGGAGUGGAAUUUCUGGGUCACAUAGUAAUUCUAUGUUUCACUAUUUGAGGAACUGCCAAAUGAUUUUCCAAAGCAGUUGCACCAUUUGCAUUCCCACUAGCAAUGUAAGAGCGUUCUGAUUUCUCCACAUCUUCACCAACAUUUGUUAUUGUCCAAUGUAUUCAUCUUUGUUAUUAAAAUAAUCAACUAUAAACACCUCUUAGAGGACUUUGGGACCCACCCUAGAUACUUCCAGACACCAAGUUUGUAAACAUGACCCUGUUCCUCCGACCACAGGAUUGGACUGGGAAUGGGCAUCUGAUAUAAACAGAAACAAUAAGCCCUUUCAGAGGGGCCCUUGAAAUUGAGACUAAGAGAUUCCAGUCUCAGUUUGAUAGCUCUCUUAAACGAUGGAGAUGGAAACUCAUGAGCUGUUUGUAAUCAUUUCCCACUUUGUGGACCAGGAAGCAGCGAGAAUCAAUUGGCAGUGAGAGAGAGAAGAAUGAAACAAGUAUGUAUUGAGUAGCAGAGAUUAGAGAUGGAGAGAGAGGACUUCCUGGGUGUUUGAGAUUUUUGAUUCCUUCCUGAGGCCCAGUUUCUUUCUGCCUUUGGAUUUCUCUAGACACUCCUGUAUCUUAUAAAGCAUUCUCUUUCAUGCAUAAACUAAUCUGAGUUUGAUUCUGCUACUUGCAACCAAAAGAACAUUAACAAAUAAAACAUGAAAAUGACAAUAAAGGGGUUUUAUAAAACAAAAACAAGUCAGCCUCUUUAGAUGAUCAAGGUCAGGAAAAUAAUUCAUUGUUUCUCUUUUCUUUCUCUCUCUGGAUCCACUUCCAUUCUCUUUCUUUUUUCUGCAAAUCCAAUUCUUUCUCUCUCUCAGAGUCUCACUGUUCCACCAUAAUUUCAACAUGCAGGUCUACAAUGCUGGUGACUCCUGCCCUGACCUUAAAUGGCCUUUUGAUUCAAAUGCCCUGACCAGUACCUUAGGGUUCCAUUUCCAGAUCUCAGAAUAACCUGACUGGCUCAGUUUGGGUCAUAUGUCCAGCACUAGUCCAGAGGGCUGUGGCCAGGGGUUUGGAGCCACCUUCCGUGGUCUGCGCACAGAGAAGUUUCUCUACAAAGCAGGAUUAGGCAUAGAGAAAAUAAAUGUGAGGAAAUAAUUCUGAGUCCUUGCAUAUAUGGGAUUGUCUCUUUUUUUGCCUUCAUACACAAGUGAUAGCUUGGUGGGAUAUAGAAUUCUGGCAUCAUAACCUUGGUUUCCCCUAAAACUCCAUAGACAAUGCUCAAUCGUCUUCUCACAUUUUGGGGUGUAGAACAAAGUCUGAGGGUGACCUGAUUUUUCCCCCCUUUGUGGUUAACCUAUUUUAUUCUCUCUGUACUCUUAAAGGAUUUCUUUCUUUACUAAUGAAAUUAUUUCAUGUUGCUUUUCCUUUUUAUGCAUUAUCAUCAUCUUUUCAUUUUUUAGGUUAUAGAAGACUUUUUUAGUCUUAAUUGUACAUAACUGACUUGGCUUGCAGCAGGAUCCAAUGUACUGUUUACUAUCUCCACUGUGUUUUCAAAUUUGGUAAUUACAUUUUUCAUCUGAAAGUAAGCUUGAAUUGUUCCUUCUUCAGACUUGAAAUGUCCUCUCAAAUCUCAUUGAAAGUACUAGUUUGCAAUCUUCUCAAGUUGUCACCUAUUUGUUACCUUUUAUCAAAGUAAAUAUUUCCUCAGAAUGAUCUCCUCUCUUAAUUUGGUGAAUCUUUUUGCAAGCUCAUUACUUGUUUCUGAUGGCUCAUUCUGAAGAGGGGCCUAUAUUUAUCUAUUACUGUUAGAGAUAGUCUCCCUCAUCCUAGACCAAGGGGGAAAGAGAAAGUUUAUAUUUUCUAUAGAUUUAUUUUUCUAUGUUGGGGAACAUGAUGGUUAUGGAAUGAGCUACCAAAAAUUGAUCAUAUGCCAGGCAGGCUAACUAUUUUGUAAAAUGAUCAGUUUUUUUCCCUACAGCCAUUCUGUGUGCCAGCACCAUGUCCCAAUGUCUCUCAUGACUUGAAUUUUCUCCUGAGAGUAAACUUUCAUUCUAUUCUUGCCUUAGGUUUCUGCUGUCUGAGAUUUGGAACUCUUGUGUUGGAUCAUAAGUCUAAUUGCCCGUGGAAAAUAGGGAGCCCACAGUACAACAAGGAAUGGUUCUUGAUGUGCCAAUGCUUAUUGUGAUAGCCGCAACCUAGUUGGAGCACAACAGCCUUUCUCUAACUGGUUAAACUACUUUUUUUAGAAUAUUGCUAAAAAAGUGAUGCCUCCCACUUUGCUUGCCCUCUGCAGGAAAUGAAGGCUGGGGUCAGACUUCAGCUGGUUGGUUCACAUGUGGGAUGCUGGAACGGUUACCUCAGUCCUUUGGUUUUCUCCCUGGUACCUGUCUUAUGUCCUACCUCUGUUCCAGGCCAUGAUGCUGACUUAGGACAUCUCCAAAGCACUUCUGGGGAAUAGUUCUCUUACUUCUUAGAUGGAGCCUCUACGUUGCCUGAAUCGAAUUGUAGGUUACUGACUGCUUUUAUCUGUCUUGUAAAUGUUUUUAAAAGUUUCUGAUCUAUUAAUUGUUAACACAUAAAGACUUUUUCCCAUUUUUAUAGUUCUUGGGCUGUUUCAGUGGGAUUAUGAAAGGAAGGAACUUAAAUACAUGUGCUAAAAUAAUUAUCUUUUAUGCAUACUUAAGUACUUAGGGAUAAAGUAUAUUAAUAUCUCUAACUUACUUUGAAAUGCAUCAAAAAGUAAUAUGGGUUGAUGGAUAGCUAUGUGAUAAAAGAAAUAUAGCUAAAUAUUAAUUAUAGAAUCUAGGUGGUGGGUAUAUUAAUGUUCACCAUAUAAUUCUUAAAAUUUUUCUGUAUGUUUGAAAAAAAUCACAGCAAAAUGUUUUAAAAAAUCAUUAUUUUUCCAACUGGAAGUCGAUUCUUAAACUUUGUUUCACCAUUUGUUUGGAGAUCAUCUUCAAGUAAUUUUCACAAGAAGGGGAUGUAUACUUUUCAGCCUAUUGUCUUUUGCCUUCUCAAGGACUUCUCUCCUUGGGUUAUCCCCUCUUCUGCAUUAAAGCAUUCUUUUCCAUUAGAUUAGUGACAUACUCUGGUUUAUCCAACCUUAAAAACCCUCUUUUGAGUCUUUAUCUAGAUACUUUUCCACAUUAGGGCAUGUGUCACCCUUCCAUGUUUACAGAUAUAUCCCCAGAGCCUAGAAAAAUGCCUAGCCUAUAUUAGUGAUUCAGUAACUACUAGCAGAAUGAAUGAAUAUCUCUCUUCUCCUUCACAGCCAUAGUUCUCAAAAUGGCUGUCUAUACACUUCUUUGUUGCUACUACCACUUGACUUCCUUUUACUCAUCAAUCCAUUCAAGUUGGGCUUCCACCCUCAUAACUCAACUGAAACUUCUCUUAUUAUGACAAAUGGACUCCAUGUUGCCAUAUCCAAUGGCCACCUUGCUGGCUUCUAAAUCCUACUUUCAUCAGGAUUUGGUAGUUUACCAUUCCUUCUUUCUUGAAAUGUUUUUCUUUCUCAGCUUCUGGGAAUCCAGUCACAGAAGACUUGCAGAUUUGCUCCUUACAUCACUGGCUUCCUCUUCUCAUAUUUCUUUUAUGACUUCUCUUCCUCUAUGCAUUAGAGCGCCUCAGGACUUGGUCCUGGUCCUUUUCUCUCUCUACACGUCCUCUGUAAGUAACUUUGUCCAGUCUCAUGGCUUUAACCUGAAGAUUCCCGUGUUAAACUCUCUAGCCCAGACCAUUUCUCCAGGCUCUAAAUUUAUACAUCCAAUUGCCUACAUGAAAUCUCUGCUAAGAAAUCUCACAGACUAAAUUCUCACAGCAUGUCCAAAAUGAAAAUGCUUCUUUCCUCACCCCUCCCCUUGAAGCCCAUCUCUGCCCUUGUCUCCUCUAUCUCAGAAAAAUGCUAGAGAUAUUGAACAGUUUCUAUUUGAUUCUUUUUUUUUCCUACUCCUCAUACCCAAUCCAAUAGCAAGUCCAUCUAAUUCUAUUUCCCACAUAUAUCUCAGAUGUGUCUGUGUAUAUUUGAUUCCACUGCUAUCACUCUAGUCCAAGUUACCAUAUCAGUCCUGGAAAAAUGCAAUAGUCCCCUAACAAGUGUACAUGCUCUAUCUUUGCCUCCAUAUAGGCCAAACUCUUACAGAGCAACCAAAAGAAACAUUUAACACUAAUUUCUGGACUUCCAGUUCUUUCAAAGAUGGAAUAAUCCCAUUCCUCCCAAGUCCUCCCUCUUAUAACUAAUACACAUAACACAACAAGUAAGCAUAGGAACACUCUGAAAGGUGGAGAGAUGAUAGACUGCCUAGGGACCUUGGGACUUGAAAAGCAACACAGUGGUGAGUUCCCUGGGUUUCCUUAGUGUCUUCUGUAUAUCCUGAUUGGAUAGGGCGCUGCAGGAGCCUCCAACCCUGAAUUGCCAACAGGCACACAUGCAAAAAGCUCCAAGAAAGGCCUGUUCCCCUAGCCAAAGGACUAGGAAAAUAGUGGCCUACAGCAGAAACUUGGAGUUCCCGUCGUGGCGCAGUGGUUAACGAAUCCGACUAGGAACCAUGAGGUUGCGGGUUCGAUCCCUGCCCUUGCUCAGUGGGUUAAUGAUCUGGCUGGCGUUGCCAUGAGCUGUGGUGAAGGUUGCAGAUGCGGCUCCGAUCCCGCGUUGCUGUGGCUUUGGCGUAGGCUGGUGGCUACACCUCCGAUUCAACCCCUAGCCUGGGAACCUCCAUAUGCCGCGGGAGCGGCCCAAGAAAUG
rnacentral:lncRNA from 1 species